GGCCCUUUAGCUCAGUGGUUAGAGCANNUCGCUGGUUCAAGUCCAGCAAGGGCCACCA
rnacentral:tRNA from 1 species